UACGAAGGGUGCAAGCGUUACUCGGAAUUACUGGGCGUAAAGCGUGCGUAGGUGGUUUGACAAGUCUGAUGUGAAAUCUCUGGGCUCAACCCAGAGUCUGCAUUAGAAACUGUCGGGCUUGAGUAUGGGAGAGGUGAGUGGAAUUUCCGGUGUAGCGGUGAAAUGCGUAGAUAUCGGAAGGAACACCUGUGGCGAAAGCGGCUCACUGGACCAUAACUGACGCUGAGGCGCGAAAGCUAGGGGAGCAAACAGG
rnacentral:rRNA from 1 species